rnacentral:rRNA from 1 species
AGUGAACGCUGGCGGUAGGCCUAACACAUGCAAGUCGAACGGCAGCACAGUAAGAGCUUGCUCUUACGGGUGGCGAGUGGCGGACGGGUGAGGAAUACAUCGGCAUCUACUUUUUCGUGGGGGAUAACGUAGGGAAACUUACGCUAAUACCGCAUACGACCUACGGGUGAAAGCAGGGGAUCUUCGGACCUUGCGCGAUUGAAUGAGCCGAUGUCGGAUUAGCUAGUUGGCGGGGUAAAGGCCCACCAAGGCGACGAUCCGUAGCUGGUCUGAGAGGAUGAUCAGCCACACUGGAACUGAGACACGGUCCAGACUCCUACGGGAGGCAGCAGUGGGGAAUAUUGGACAAUGGGCGAAAGCCUGAUCCAGCCAUACCGCGUGGGUGAAGAAGGCCUUCGGGUUGUAAAGCCCUUUUGUUGGGAAAGAAAAGCAGCAGGUUAAUACCCCGCUGUUCUGACGGUACCCAAAGAAUAAGCACCGGCUAACUUCGUG